rnacentral:rRNA from 1 species
GAUGAACGCUGGCGGCGUGCCUAAUACAUGCAAGUCGAGCGAACGGACGAGAAGCUUGCUUCUCUGAUGUUAGCGGCGGACGGGUGAGUAACACGUGGAUAACCUACCUAUAAGACUGGGAUAACUUCGGGAAACCGUAGCUUAUACCGGAUAAUAUUUUGAACCGCAUUGUUCAAAAGUGAAAGUCGGUCUUUCUGUCACUUAUAGAUGGAUCCGCGCUGCAUUAGCUAGUUGGUAAGGUAACGGCUUACCAAGGCAACGAUGCAUAGCCGACCUGAGAGGGUGGUCGGCCACACUGGAGCUGAGACACGGUCCAGACUCCUACGGGAGGCAGCAGUAGGGAAUCUUCCGCAAUGGGGGAAAGCCUGACGGAGCAACGCCGCGUGAGUGAUGAAGGUCUUCGGAUCGUAAAACUCUGUUAUUAGGGAAGAACAUAUGUGUAAGUAACUGUGCAGAUCUUGACGGUACCUAGUCAGAAAGCCACGGCUAACUACGUG